rnacentral:misc_RNA from 1 species
GAAAUGCGAUAAGUAAUGUGAAUUGCAGAAUUCAGUGAAUCAUCGAAUCUUUGAACGCACAUUGCGCCCGCCAGUAUUCUGGCAGGCAUGCCUGUUCGAGCGUCAUUACAACCCUCAGGCCCCCGGGCCUGGCGUUGGGGAUCGGCGGAAGCCCCCUGCGGGCACAACGCCGUCCCCCAAAUACAGUGGCGGUCCCGCCGCAGCUUCCAUUGCGUAGUAGCUAACACCUCGCAACUGGAGAGCGGCGCGGCCACGCCGUAAAACACCCAACUUCUGAAUGUUGACCUCGAAUCAGGUAGGAAUACCCGCUGAACUUAAGC